GUGGACUGUUCGUAGUAGAAAUUCGGAGUAGGCCAUUUGUAGUAGAAGUUCGGAGUAGACCGUUUGUAGUAGGGGCUCGAAUGAAGUCCGCCUGUAAUAGAAAUUCAAGGCAGAGGUCCGACUCCCGUAGGAGCUCGGACGAAAUCAAAAAGGCGGUCGACCGCUGUAGAAAUAUGGGUGGAGUCGGGUUGCUGUAGAAAUCUGUCCUUGGGGAAGUUCGACCGUGGACGAAGUCUGGGAAGUUCGGAUUAGAACCUAUCACGGUCGGAAGAGAUCUGGAAGAGGUCCGGAGAACAAUUGAUCAUUGUAGAAGGUCAGUAGAUAGCGAAGUCUGAAGAGCAUUUGAAGCAGUCUGGUGGACGACUGAAGAAGUUCGUCGUUGGAGAAGUCCGGAAGGGUGUUAUCAUAGCUCAGACAGUUGGGAGAGUUUAGAAAAGCGUCGCACCAAGUCGGAAAUUCGGCUGCCGGAGAAAUCUGGAAAAGAUGCCGCACAAAGUCGGAGGGAUCUUGGGAGAGUUGGCUUCUUAUGAACUUCGGCUGGGGGUAUUUUAUACCCAACAUUACGUAUUCUAUACACCUGCCAUAAACGUGUGGAAGUUUUAAUACAAGAGCUUUUUAAUUCCUUUUUUAUAUUGUAAGGAUACCUAUGUUUAUGUGCAUCAAUGUAUGUUUUUGCAUCAUCCAGAAAAGUAGAAAUUGCAGAAAACUUCAAGCAGACUUCUAGAGAAAAUUCUAAUAACACAUUGGGACACCAGAUAAUUUUUUCUGCCAAAAGUGCGAGAAGAGGAAAAGAUUUGCAAAUUCAAUCUUUAAAUUAUAGUCACCAACAAAAUAUAGGGCACCCAAUACCUCGAGAUGAACAAAAGGAUAAGGUGUAGCUUCACCACUUAGCCGACUCUGAUGCAGUGCCUGUCAUUUAAUGAGGAUCACACAAGUUAGAAAACUAAUGGCCAUUUUUGGGUGUCAAGAAGAAAAGAUAUUAUUGGAGUUGUUGAAAU
rnacentral:lncRNA from 1 species